CAAGGAAAGACUGGCUCUUCUCGAGUUCUCGCGAGAGUCCCCCGACCAGGAUGAGGUACACAAAUACAGCCUAUUUUGUGACCUUUUUAAUUGGUGCUUCGGCUGGAAGGUGGGGCGUGGUUGGAAAAGGAAAGUAGUAAGUAAAGCGGAGGCGAGAAAGGUACGGGAGCCGCUGGGGUUACCAGCUGAGCGGCUGGAGAAGUCUGUUACCCGAGGGGAAGCGAAGCAUCCUUCCAUCACCACCACCGGGGCCCACGCCUGCGUUCUGCUGUAGGACCUGCGAGUCUUUUGUUCCGGGCUGGACCGAGCCUUUGGCUCAUAUGUGGACUGUGGGCCGGAUGUCUGCAAAAGCGAAGUUAGUCUCGUGUUGGGAAACUGUCAGGUAGCCCUUUCUUUAGGGCUAAAGCUGUUGCCCCCUUUACUUGCACACCUCUGGGCAAGGUUAGCGUUUGUUUUUUUUUUAAACGGUAACAAAGUUUUAUUAAAGGUGGGAAAAGAUACAAGCUCUGAAGAGCGAGUUUGGGCCAAGUAAAAGUAGAAAAAGAAAUACAGCCUACAGCCUGAGAGCGGGCCACCAUCCAAGAGAACACAGUGGCAAGCAGACACUCUCUGCGUAGGAUCAUCAUGCCGAGCAUAAACUGGACUUUCCUACUUGCCUGGCAGGAGUCAGACAGAUCCUUGUUUCUAAAUGAGCAUCUGAGCCAUGCUAUCAACAUCCACCAGAGAGCAGAGCGGUUCCAACACCCACAUCUUUCACGGUAGAAAUAGAAGGAGACCGUAACAGCCAGAUCCUUGGCCAAACAACGCGGAUUGCAGUUCAUUUCAAAGGUCAGCGCAUAUUUAAGCUUGCUUCAUUACUGCCACCUUUAUGCCUGAGAUUUUCAUUUUAAAA
rnacentral:lncRNA from 1 species